GCCACCAGAGUGUCCAGUGUCAGCUGUGGGGCCAGAGUGUCCUGGGCACGUUUGCACCAUGACCGGGACUCCUCUCCUGCUCCUGCUCCUCCUCACCCUCUGCCCAGGGUCCAGUGCUCAGAUUGUAGUGACCCAGGAGCCAUCACUGUCCGUGUCUCCAGGAGGGACAGUGACGCUUACCUGUGGCCUUAGCUCUGGGUCAGUCUCUAGUAGUAACUACCCUGGCUGGUACCAGCAGACCCCAGGCCAGGCUCCCCGCACGCUCAUCUACAACACAGACAGUCGGCCCUCUGGGGUCCCUGAGCGCUUCUCGGGAUCCAUCUCUGGGGACAAAGCCGUCCUCACCAUCUCGGGGACCCAGCCUGAGGACGAGGCUGACUAUUACUGUGCUACAGAUCAUGGCAGUGGGAGCAGCUUCCAUCACUCACAGUGGCUCAGAUGCCGAGGAAGUGCUUCCUGCCAAGGGGUCUCCAAAGGGGUGAAGCCAACCUCCAUCCCCCUCAGUCUGGUAUGUGAGCUGAGUUCCAGCAUCAAGGCUCAGUGA